AGAACCGCACCAAUCCAGCGGCGAAACCCCAUAACAAGUCCCCGAGAGCUUUUGCCGUUUAGAUAUCGUUUAUGACACUCAGCCACAAACACACUCGGGCUCACAUCCGCUCGGUGCUCAAUUCCAAACGACCCCGUUCGUUAAGCCGGCUCGCGUGCCUUGGCAUUAUGAUUUCCAAAUUGGAUCCAUGGACUCCCGUUUCGUCAACUUGCCUGUUUGUUAUGCAACAAUGUCUCUCCCCGAUUUAGAUAUCAGCCUUUAAAAGCGGCUUAAUCUUACGAUUUUCCUAGCGGUUCUUAUGUGACAUUAAAGCUAAACAAAGAA